CAGCACCUCAAGUGGUCAGGAUGAUUAUUGGGCCUAAAGCAUCCGUAGCCUGCUUUGUCAGUUUUCGGUUAAAUCCAUACGCUCAACGUAUGGGCUGCCGGGAAUACUGCAAAGCUAGGGAGUGGGAGAGGUAGACGGUACUCGGUAGGAAGGGGUAAAAUCCUUUGAUCUAUUGAUGACCACUUGUGGCGAAGGCGGUCUACCAGAACACGUCCGACGGUGAGGGAUGAAAGCUGGGGGAGCAAACCGGAUUAGAUACCCGAGUAGUCC
rnacentral:rRNA from 1 species